UAAAUAAACAUGAUGAAUUAUAGAUUGAAAGAAAGGAAACAAAAAAAAAGAGAAGGAACCAAAAUUGGCAUGGUUGUUUGUUUGUUUGUUCCUCUUUUUCUUGUUCCUUUCUU
rnacentral:ribozyme from 1 species